ensembl:ncRNA F09D5.6 ncRNA
AAGAGAGAAGAAAACGGAAUAAAAAAGCGCAGAGGAGCAAGUGGUUAGUAAAGUGGUUAUUUAUCUCUCCGAGACUUUUUUUUCGCGGUUUCUCCAAAUACGGGAGGGGGGCUAGUUUUUGCCGCCCCGUCGAUUCA